GAUGAACGCUGGCGGCGUGCCUAAUACAUGCAAGUCGAGCGAACGGACGAGAAGCUUGCUUCUCUGAUGUUAGCGGCGGACGGGUGAGUAACACGUGGAUAACCUACCUAUAAGACUGGGAUAACUUCGGGAAACCGGAUCUAAUACCGGAUAAUAUUUUGAACCGCAUGGUUCAAAAGUGAAAGACGGUCUUGCGGUCACUUAUAGAUGGAUCCGCGCUGCAUUAGCUAGUUGGUAAGGUAACGGCUUACCAAGGCAACGAUGCAUAGCCGACCUGAGAGGGUGAUCGGCCACACUGGAACUGAGACACGGUACAGACUCCUACGGGAGGCAGCAGUAGGGAAUCGUCCGCCAUGGGCGAAAGCCUGACGGAGCAACGCCGCGUGAGUGAUGAAGGUCUUCGGAUCGUAAAACUCUGUUAUUAGGGAAGAACAUAUGUGUAAGUAACUGUGAACAUCCUGACGGUACCUACUCAGAAAGCCACGGCUAACUACGUG
rnacentral:rRNA from 1 species